rnacentral:snRNA from 1 species
AUGCUCGCUUCAGCAGCACAUAUACUAAAAUUGGAAUGAUACACAGAAGAUUAGCAUGUCCCCGUGCAAGGAUGACACACAAAAAAAUACUAAUAACCUUA